AGCGCCGGGAAGCGGCAGAAGCAGAGUGUGACCCGCUUUUCCUCUGCCCUCCAGAGCGAGUUGCCGUCUGGGAUGCGGUGGCCGUCUACGUCCAGGAGCAGCUCCUGCUACGCAAGGGGGUCCGAAUUCCCACCUUCGGUUCCUUCAGCAUCGUCUCCGAACGGAUUGAGGCUGAGGAUGGAGCCAUGACUCUGCGGUGGCCUGCGUUUUGCCUGGCCAGGAACCUUGCGGGCAUCCACAACCUGAUGGAGAGCUACCCACCAGGCCAUAAGGAGGUGCAGCCCCUCAAGUACACUGAGGUGGCCGCGGCCGCAUCUGUGACCUGGCAGACUGGGAAGGCCUGCAUAUUUGGCACCACGUCCCUCGUUUCCCACUGCCUGAGGAAGGGGGAGAACAUUGCCUUUGUCCUGAAGGACAUAGGAGUGCUCCUCAUCGAGGGAACGAGAGUUCAGAUGAAGUUCUACUACGACUUCCUCGAGAGGAUCAGCGGGAAAGAGAACCUAGAGAAAGUUGUUUUCAAGGUGCCCCGGCUGCAGGACAUGGUGGUGUCCCGGGUGGCAGCUGUAGCCUCCCUGACGUCCUGUG
ensembl:lncRNA